GACGAACGCUGGCGGCGUGCUUAACACAUGCAAGUCGAACGGUGAAGCGCCUUCCUUUUUGGUGGGUGUGGAUGAGUGGCGAACGGGUGAGUAACACGUGAGUAACCUGCCCCCUUCUUCUGGAUAACCGCAUGAAAGUGUGGCUAAUACGGGAUAUUCUGGGUCUCUCGCAUCAUGGGUCUGGGACAGAUAUUGUUUCGGUUGUGGAUGGGCUCGCGGCCUAUCAGCUUGUUGGUGGGGUGAUGGCCUACCAAGGCGGUGACGGGUAGCCGGCCUGAGAGGGUGGGCGGUCACAGUGGGGCGACGAGACCCACCAGACUCCUACGGGCGGCAGCAGGGGGGAUUAUGGAACAGUGGGCGCCAGCAUGGUGCAGCGCCGCGGGGUGAGGGAUGGUGGCCUGCGGGUUGUGAACCUCUUUCGGGAGUGAAGCAGGCCUGCCUCGUUUGUGGGCGGGUUGACGGUAGCUGGAUAAGAAGCGACGGCUAACUACGUG
rnacentral:rRNA from 1 species